GCCGUUUUUAUUUAGUUUUGAUUUGUUUUUGUUUAUGUAGUUUGUAUCUCGACACAUCAUGUUCAAAUUACUGGUACUCUUGUUUGUUAUCGUGUUUAUUUCUCUUUCUGUGGCUGUACCGAGACCAAAUCCUGAUCCCCAACUGUACGGAUAUUAUGGAUCUCCAUAUUACGGAAGUUAUUAUUCACAUUAUGGUUACGCAUAUUACUUAUAAAUCGAUACUAUAAUUUGCUAUUCUAUCAUAAAUUACUAAUUAUUGUACAAUAAGCAUGAAUAAAGUAAAUUCUGUUAUUUCUCUAUUUUAUAAAUGUUUCAAUAUUAAUAAAAUAAUAAUAUAACAUAAAUAUCGUUAAGCAACAAAAUUGUAAGAGAUUUUUCUGUUCCCUAAUUGUAUAUAUAUUCCAAAAUAAAAAUAGUUUUUAUAGAGUAUUUAUGCAAGAAAAAUUAUCAUUAAAACAUUUAAAUGCAAAUACCUAGAGUGUGUCAUCCUUUUAAUAAACGUAACAGGUAUUUACUAACGCUAGAUAACAUGUAAUAAUAUUUACAUUUUGUAUCCUACCUCCAUUAUAAUUUAUUUGUACUAGAAUUUAAAUAGUCUACGUCACUUUGUCUCAGGAAUGGAAUUGUAUAUUUUUAAUCCAUGCCUAUCUACUUAAACGUGUGACUGAUUAAAUUUUCUCAUUGUGAUAUUAAUUAAAGCUAAGUGAGUUUAGAAAAAUGUUUAAUUUUGCAAUACUGUUGGUCUUGUUGGUGACAAUGUUUGUUGCAUUGGGUGCUCCUGUACAAGAUGAAAACGCCGAUUCUCAAAAUUAUUAUAAAACAUUUGAUCAGCUUGGACCACUUUUAUAUCGUGACCCAGCUUUUGCACCAGUUUACUAAUUAUGUUUAAAUAAAUCGACAUGAAGUGAAGCUUUUAUAUAAAUUUAAUUAAAAAAAAUAUUAUGUAUGGUAAUAAUAUUAUACACAUUAUACUUAAAUUAAAAUAAUAAGAAUAUGUAUUAUAUGUUAAACAUAUAAAGUGUAUUUUGAAUUAG